CUGGCGCCGCGCGCGGCGCAUUGUGGGAGAUGUAGUUCAGCUCCUCAGGGCAAGCCGAUUCAGCAUCCUUUCAUUGGGCUGUGAACAGAAAGUCCUUGAUUUCCUCAAUUUUCGGAGGCAUGGCGACAAGGCACGCAGGGAGCAGGCGCGGACCGGGACAGCGUGCGGCGACCGGGAAAAACAGGACAGAAAAAGACAGACAGCUUUUAAAGCUCCUGGAUUAACCCUAGAGGCUACCCCUAAAUGGAGAUAAGCCAUUUAUACAGAGAGGUGUUCCUGCUCGCUUCAGCAGGUUUGAGAAGCUCUGGACUAACCACCAAAUGACUAGGAAAAAUUUGCCAGGGCUAGUAUUUUGGGCAUCCCUGUUUAACCCUUCUCAGGAGAUUCCCAGGCCUGGGAUCGUAUCAUACACAAGUCGCCAUGACUCAGGAGGUGGAUGUUUCUGGGAAGACCUGCAAAGGAGGAUGACACUUGCACCCUUCAAGUCUUCAGAAUGCCUAGAAAACACUCAGGACGCAUUUCACUGACCAACCUAGUGUGAACCUGGAGGUGUCUCUACGUGUUUGUGGUUUUGAUCAUCCUGAGAGAGGACCUGAACGGCCUCUUCACACCCAGUUUCACCAACCACACAACCGUAUUUCUGGUUUAUCUCUGCAUCUUUGGUGUUUCCUAAUUUCUAUUUAUGCUUGCUUGUUGUAUGAGUAGGUAAAAUAAAUCCUUAAUUAAUUAAUGGAGCUAAAUUUCUACUUCUGCUUCUUACUCUGCUGUUUGAGAAACGGUAGCUAGCCUUAUAUUUUCACAAAUAUGAAAGAUGAUUUUGUGCAACCAUGUAGAGAUUAUGGAAUUUAGGUUUAAAAGCGAAGUUAAAUGAGACAUCUAGCUUAACUUGUUAAAGAUGGUUCUAGUUUCAACCGGAAGGCAUUAUAGUUAUAGCACAUUUAAAAUAAAACCGAUAACUGAAAAUCUA
rnacentral:lncRNA from 1 species